rnacentral:pre_miRNA from 1 species
UUUUCUCUUGGAGUUCCUCUGAAUGCUUCAAACAUGAGACAAUCUUGAUAGAAAUUAUGGAUAGUUCUUGUUCAAUGAAGUAUUUGGGGGAACUCUUGGAAUUGA